rnacentral:rRNA from 1 species
ACUAAGCGUACACGGUGGAUGCCCUGGCAGUCAGAGGCGAUGAAGGACGUGCUAAUCUGCGAUAAGCGUCGGUAAGGUGAUAUGAACCGUUAUAACCGGCGAUUUCCGAAUGGGGAAACCCAGUGUGUUUCGACACACUAUCAUUAACUGAAUCCAUAGGUUAAUGAGGCGAACCGGGGGAACUGAAACAUCUAAGUACCCCGAGGAAAAGAAAUCAACCGAGAUUCCCCCAGUAGCGGCGAGCGAACGGGGAGCAGCCCAGAGCCUGAAUCAGUGUGUGUGUUAGUGGAAGCGUCUGGAAAGGCGCGCGAUACAGGGUGACAGCCCCGUACACAAAAAUGCACAUGCUGUGAGCUCGAUGAGUAGGGCGGGACACGUGGUAUCCUGUCUGAAUAUGGGGGGACCAUCCUCCAAGGCUAAAUACUCCUGACUGACCGAUAGUGAACCAGUACCGUGAGGGAAAGGCGAAAAGAACCCCGGCGAGGGGAGUGAAAAAGAACCUGAAACCGUGUACGUACAAGCAGUGGGAGCACGCUUAGGCGUGUGACUGCGUACCUUUUGUAUAAUGGGUCAGCGACUUAUAUUCUGUAGCAAGGUUAACCGAAUAGGGGAGCCGAAGGGAAACCGAGUCUUAACUGGGCGUUAAGUUGCAGGGUAUAGACCCGAAACCCGGUGAUCUAGCCAUGGGCAGGUUGAAGGUUGGGUAACACUAACUGGAGGACCGAACCGACUAAUGUUGAAAAAUUAGCGGAUGACUUGUGGCUGGGGGUGAAAGGCCAAUCAAACCGGGAGAUAGCUGGUUCUCCCCGAAAGCUAUUUAGGUAGCGCCUCGUGAAUUCAUCUCCGGGGGUAGAGCACUGUUUCGGCAAGGGGGUCAUCCCGACUUACCAACCCGAUGCAAACUGCGAAUACCGGAGAAUGUUAUCACGGGAGACACACGGCGGGUGCUAACGUCCGUCGUGAAGAGGGAAACAACCCAGACCGCCAGCUAAGGUCCCAAAGUCAUGGUUAAGUGGGAAACGAUGUGGGAAGGCCCAGACAGCCAGGAUGUUGGCUUAGAAGCAGCCAUCAUUUAAAGAAAGCGUAAUAGCUCACUGGUCGAGUCGGCCUGCGCGGAAGAUGUAACGGGGCUAAACCAUGCACCGAAGCUGCGGCAGCGACACUAUGUGUUGUUGGGUAGGGGAGCGUUCUGUAAGCCUGUGAAGGUGUGCUGUGAGGCAUGCUGGAGGUAUCAGAAGUGCGAAUGCUGACAUAAGUAACGAUAAAGCGGGUGAAAAGCCCGCUCGCCGGAAGACCAAGGGUUCCUGUCCAACGUUAAUCGGGGCAGGGUGAGUCGACCCCUAAGGCGAGGCCGAAAGGCGUAGUCGAUGGGAAACAGGUUAAUAUUCCUGUACUUGGUGUUACUGCGAAGGGGGGACGGAGAAGGCUAUGUUGGCCGGGCGACGGUUGUCCCGGUUUAAGCGUGUAGGCUGGUUUUCCAGGCAAAUCCGGAAAAUCAAGGCUGAGGCGUGAUGACGAGGCACUACGGUGCUGAAGCAACAAAUGCCCUGCUUCCAGGAAAAGCCUCUAAGCAUCAGGUAACAUCAAAUCGUACCCCAAACCGACACAGGUGGUCAGGUAGAGAAUACCAAGGCGCUUGAGAGAACUCGGGUGAAGGAACUAGGCAAAAUGGUGCCGUAACUUCGGGAGAAGGCACGCUGAUAUGUAGGUGAAGUCCCUCGCGGAUGGAGCUGAAAUCAGUCGAAGAUACCAGCUGGCUGCAACUGUUUAUUAAAAACACAGCACUGUGCAAACACGAAAGUGGACGUAUACGGUGUGACGCCUGCCCGGUGCCGGAAGGUUAAUUGAUGGGGUUAGCCGCAAGGCGAAGCUCUUGAUCGAAGCCCCGGUAAACGGCGGCCGUAACUAUAACGGUCCUAAGGUAGCGAAAUUCCUUGUCGGGUAAGUUCCGACCUGCACGAAUGGCGUAAUGAUGGCCAGGCUGUCUCCACCCGAGACUCAGUGAAAUUGAACUCGCUGUGAAGAUGCAGUGUACCCGCGGCAAGACGGAAAGACCCCGUGAACCUUUACUAUAGCUUGACACUGAACAUUGAGCCUUGAUGUGUAGGAUAGGUGGGAGGCUUUGAAGUGUGGACGCCAGUCUGCAUGGAGCCGACCUUGAAAUACCACCCUUUAAUGUUUGAUGUUCUAACGUUGACCCGUAAUCCGGGUUGCGGACAGUGUCUGGUGGGUAGUUUGACUGGGGCGGUCUCCUCCUAAAGAGUAACGGAGGAGCACGAAGGUUGGCUAAUCCUGGUCGGACAUCAGGAGGUUAGUGCAAUGGCAUAAGCCAGCUUGACUGCGAGCGUGACGGCGCGAGCAGGUGCGAAAGCAGGUCAUAGUGAUCCGGUGGUUCUGAAUGGAAGGGCCAUCGCUCAACGGAUAAAAGGUACUCCGGGGAUAACAGGCUGAUACCGCCCAAGAGUUCAUAUCGACGGCGGUGUUUGGCACCUCGAUGUCGGCUCAUCACAUCCUGGGGCUGAAGUAGGUCCCAAGGGUAUGGCUGUUCGCCAUUUAAAGUGGUACGCGAGCUGGGUUUAGAACGUCGUGAGACAGUUCGGUCCCUAUCUGCCGUGGGCGCUGGAGAACUGAGGGGGGCUGCUCCUAGUACGAGAGGACCGGAGUGGACGCAUCACUGGUGUUCGGGUUGUCAUGCCAAUGGCACUGCCCGGUAGCUAAAUGCGGAAGAGAUAAGUGCUGAAAGCAUCUAAGCACGAAACUUGCCCCGAGAUGAGUUCUCCCUGACUCCUUGAGAGUCCUGAAGGAACGUUGAAGACGACGACGUUGAUAGGCCGGGUGUGUAAGCGCAGCGAUGCGUUGAGCUAACCGGUACUAAUGAACCGUGAGGCUUAACC